rnacentral:tRNA from 1 species
CAAGAUAAACUUAAUAGUUAAGUAUUUCAUUUACACUGAAUUUUUUUUUGUGCAAUUCAAGAUAUCUUGA